GACGAACGCUGGCGGCAUGCCUAACACAUGCAAGUCGAGCGAGUAGAUCACUUCGGGGUGAAGCUAGCGGCGGACGGGUGAGUAAGACGUGGGCAACCUGCCUGAUAGAGGGGAGUAGAUUUCCGAAAGGAAGAUUAAUACCGUAUAAGAGUGUAGAUUCGCAUGAAGCAGCAAUUAAAGGAGCAAUCCGCUAUGAGAAGGGCCCGAGGCGCAUUAGCUAGUUGGGGAGGUACCGGCUCACCAAGGCGACGAUGCGUAGCCGACCUGAGAGGGUGAUCGGCCACAUUGGAGCUGAGACACGGCCCAGACUCCUACGGGAGGCAGCAGUGGGGAAUAUUGCACAAUGGGGGAAACCCUGAUGCAGCAAUGCCGCGUGAGUGAUGACGGCCUUCGGGUUGUAAAGCUCUGUCUUCGGGGACGAUAAUGACGGUACCCGAGGAGGAAGCCACGGCUAACUACGUGCCAGCCGCCGCCGUAA
rnacentral:rRNA from 1 species